CGCUCUUUGUAUUUUUUAAAUAAAGAGUCGUACCUGCCCAGUGAAUUUAAAAUUUAAACGGCCGCAGUACCCUGACUGUGCUAAGGUAGCAUAAUCAUUUGCCUUUUAAUUGGAGGCUUGUAUGAAUGGUUUGACGUAAAUUUAGCUGUCUCUUUUAUAUUAUUUAAAAAUUAAUUUUUAAGUGCAGAAGCUUAAAUAAAUUCAAAAGACGAAAAGACCCUGUCGAACUUGAGAUUAGAUUAAAAUUAUUUUAUUUUAGAAAAAUAGUUUUUUAUACAUUAAAUUUUGUUGGGGUGACAGAAGAAUUGAUUUAGCUUCUUUUUAUUAUAAUAAUUUAUAUAUUAUAGGAGCCAUUAUUUAGUGAUUAUAAGAUUAGUUACCGCAGGGAUAACAGCGUAAUUUUUUUGGAAAGUUCAAAUUGAAAAAAAAGUUUGCGACCUCGAUGUUGGAUUAGAAAACCUACUAGGUGAAGAUACUUAAUUAGGAGGUCUGUUCGCCCUUUAAACUUCUACA
rnacentral:rRNA from 1 species